GUAAAAGUCGUAACAAGGUUUCCGUAGGUGAACCUGCGGAAGGAUCAUUACAGAAUGAAAAGUGCUUAACUGCAUUUUUUCUUACACAUGUGUUUUUCUUUUUUUGAAAACUUUGCUUUGGUAGGCCUUCUAUAUGGGGCCUGCCAGAGAUUAAACUCAACCAAAUUUUAUUUAAUGUCAACCGAUUAUUUAAUAGUCAAAACUUUCAACAACGGAUCUCUUGGUUCUCGCAUCGAUGAAGAACGCAGCGAAAUGCGAUAAGUAAUAUGAAUUGCAGAUAUUCGUGAAUCAUCGAAUCUUUGAACGCACAUUGCGCCCUUUGGUAUUCCAAAGGGCAUGCCUGUUUGAGCGUCAUUUCUCCCUCAAACCCUCGGGUUUGGUGUUGAGCGAUACGCUGGGUUUGCUUGAAAGAAAGGCGGAGUAUAAACUAAUGGAUAGGUUUUUUCCACUCAUUGGUACAAACUCCAAAACUUCUUCCAAAUUCGACCUCAAAUCAGGUAGGACUACCCGCUGAACUUAAGCAUAUCAAUAAGC
rnacentral:misc_RNA from 1 species